GAUGAACGCUGGCGGCGUGCCUAAUACAUGCAAGUCGAGCGAACGGACGAGAAGCUUGCUUCUCUGAUGUUAGCGGCGGACGGGUGAGUAACACGUGGAUAACCUACCUAUAAGACUGGGAUAACUUCGGGAAACCGGAGCUAAUACCGGAUAAUAUUUUGAACCGCAUGGUUCAAAAGUGAAAGACGGUCUUGCUGUCACUUAUAGAUGGAUCCGCGCUGCAUUAGCUAGUUGGUAAGGUAACGGCUUACCAAGGCAACGAUGCAUAGCCGACCUGAGAGGGUGAUCGGCCACACUGGAACUGAGACACGGUCCAGACUCCUACGGGAGGCAGCAGUAGGGAAUCUUCCGCAAUGGGCGAAAGCCUGACGGAGCAACGCAGCGUGAGUGAUGAAGGUCUUCGGAUCGGAAAACUCUGUUAUUAGGGAAGAACAUAUGUGUAAGUAACUGUGCACAUCUUGACGGUACCUAAUCAGAAAGCCACGGCUAACUACGUG
rnacentral:rRNA from 1 species